CCUACGGGCGGCAGCAGUAGGGAAUAUUGCUCAAUGGGGGAAACCCUGAAGCAGCAACGCCGCGUGGAGGAUGAAGGUUUUAGGAUUGUAAACUCCUUUUGUUAGAGAAGAUUAUGACGGUAUCUAACGAAUAAGCACCGGCUAACUCCGUGCCAGCAGCCGCGGUAAUACGGAGGGUGCAAGCGUUACUCGGAAUCACUGGGCGUAAAGAGUGCGUAGGCGGGGUAAUAAGUCAGAUGUGAAAUCCUGUAGCUUAACUACAGAACUGAAUUUGAAACUGUUACUCUGGAGUGUGGGAGAGGUAGGUGAAAUUCUUGGUGUAGGGGAAAAUUCCGAAGAGAACAAGAGGAAUACUCAUUGGGAGGGGGACCUGCUGAAACAUUCCUGCCGCGGAUGCACGAAGGCGGGGGGAGAAAACAGGAUUAGAUCCCCCAGUAGGC
rnacentral:rRNA from 1 species